rnacentral:lncRNA from 1 species
ACUCGCUUGCAGACUGGCUUGCAGACUGGGAGGAAUGAGGGAAUAUUCCCAGCUGUUUUGGUUGUGGCACUAGCCCCUGGUUAAGGCACAACAGGAAUGUCUGCAAAAUGCAAAGAGAAUCUACAUCAUGUGCUGCAUGAGGAGCCAUCAUCAGCCCUGAGAAAUGUAUCCGGGCAAAGCCUUACCAGCUGAAAGUCAGUCUUCUCAAAAUAAACCACUGGUGAAAGGGAUUGUUUCCAAGGCACUUGUGUGGACCACACAUCUGUGUGCUGUUCCAGGUUUGUUCAGGGGCUUUGAAAUUCAGAUCAUAUGGACUUUAACCAAGGAAAAUGGCAAAGGUACAUAUGUCAAUACUUUCAGAGACUUUAGAGACGUUUUUCCUUUUGCAUCAUCGCAUCAACUUUUCAGUCUUGAACAGAGAUGUGCCUCGUCAAUUGUGUCACAGUACUCAACCUUGUUCUUCAAAUUCUGCUUACCUGAAGCAUGAUGUUAAGUCUAUGGAAACGUGGGACGGCAGCAUGAGAUGCUCUGUGGGCCCACUCUCCGGUGAGACAAGGGAAAGUAGAAAAAACUAUAAAAACCGUUAAAGGUCUCUGGAAAUUGUCAUAAGGGCAAUUAGAGAUUAGAGAUAUGUUUUAUUUAGGUCUAUGCAGUGUUAAAAUGUUUUUUGAGUUUGUUGCUUUAUAUUGCUCUGUCAUUUAAAUAAAAUUUUUUAUAAAAAUUGAGAAAUUUCACAUUAGAAACUGGAUUUCUAGCAUCAGUUGAAAGAAAUCACAACUUGCCAGCUGGGCCAGAAUUUCCACAGGACAACACUCAGCUGGCACUAAGGUCGAGGGGGAAGUUUUAAUUUUGCCAUGUUCUCCACCAUUCUCUGUGUCGCCAGUGGUGUGGCUAUGUUGGCCUUCCAUCAGUGUGCUUGUAGUGUUGUUUCCUUAAAACAGAGUUGAGAGGAUAGGAGGAAAAUGAUAGCUGAGUCAAGAGAGCCAACAUUUGUAUUUGUUUGUGGAAACAGAAAUUAUACCUACUCUGUGCCUGUGUUGAAAGAAUACAGAUUCAGGUGCCUGGCCUACUUCAUUAAUUUAUGUUACUUCUCUGCCUUGACUGUAGGCAUUUGAGUUUUUGAUUCCGGUUCUAGAGGCCUAGUUCUCAAACUAUUUUAUCUCCAUACUAUGUAGAGUUGCUAGACAUGUAUGGCAAGGAAAAUUUUUUGUUAGUAUUUAUUGAACUAUAAAAAUAAUGUAUUUAAAACCAACAUAUUGGUGGUUGCCAAGGCGGUGGGGUGGUGGUGGGUGAAAUGGGGUCAAAAGGUAUAAAAACAUCCAGUUAUAAAAUAAAUAAUUAUGGAGAUAUAAUGCACAGCAUGGUGAUUAUAGUUAAUAAUACUGCACUGCAUAUUUGAAA